rnacentral:rRNA from 1 species
GUGGGGAAUAUUGGACAAUGGGCGAAAGCCUGAUCCAGCCAUGCCGCGUGUGUGAAGAAGGUCUUCGGAUUGUAAAGCACUUUAAGUUGGGAGGAAGGGCAGUAAGUUAAUACCUUGCUGUUUUGACGUUACCGACAGAAUAAGCACCGGCUAACUUCGUGCCAGCAGCCGCGGUAAUACGAAGGGUGCAAGCGUUAAUCGGAAUUACUGGGCGUAAAGCGCGCGUAGGUGGUUUUGUAAGUUGGAGGUGAAAUCCCCGGGCUCAACCUGGGAACUGCCUCCAAAACUGCAUGACUAGAGGACGGUAGAGGGUAGUGGAAUUUCCUGUGUAGCGGUGAAAUGCGUAGAUAUAGGAAGGAACACCAGUGGCGAAGGCGACUACCUGGACUGAUACUGACACUGAGGUGCGAAAGCGUGGGGAGCAAACAGGAUUAGAAACCCUUGUAGUCC